CAUACUUCUACUCAUUUCAACAGAAAAUCUUGAUAAUGUAUAACUGAAGCUGUUAAAAUCCAGCUCCGUCCAGAUCCAGCUCCGUUCCUGCUUGGUGUUGGACUCCACUGCUAUGUGUUUCUGAGUGUUGAUGACAAACUUCAGCUGGUGCUAGCCAGACAUUACUUCAAUCUUUUGACUGAAGAGUAUGAACUAAUGCCAACUCCAACUGUAAGACAUUGGAUACUUCAUAUGCCACUGCCUGAACUGCAUUGGAUUUAGGAUGGACCCCACUGAACCUUCAACCUACCCUGCAGACUUUGGUCACGGAUCUAUUGAAGGGUUAUAACAUCUGAGUAAUUGUCUAUGGCUCUCCAGACAAUGGUAAGACUUACACUAUACAGGGCUGCAGCAUCUCAGCUAAACACAGGGGCAUCAUCAGUCGUGCUUCUGAGGACAUCUUCACCUGUAUCAGUCCCCUGCAACUAUGAUGAGAGAAUAUGUCAAAUACCAGUCAGUCAUAGGAUCUUGUUUUUUCUCCAGGAGCAACUUAAUGUGUGGAAUAUUUAUAAAAUUACAACUCGCAUUUCUCGUUGGUUUUUUUAUGUAAUAGAAAUCACAGUAAGCAAAGUUCCAAUGCUCAUUUAUUGCACUGCAACUGUACUUAUUCUUUAGCAUGCUUUCCACAUCCUUAUACAAUCCUUAAUUGGAAAUAAUCCAGCCCCCAAGACAUCUCACUGCAAAACCAGGUGUCUUUUUACCACAUCUUCAAUGAAAGCAUUACUGUGAUGAAUUAGUGACAUUAAUCCUUUUACUUACCAUAAAGCUUAUUAUAUAAAGUAUAUCUGAUACAUUUUGAAUUGUAUUCUCUGAAUCGUGAUAGAUUGUUAUGCUUCUAUAUAUUUCAGGGCUUUGAGAAAUUAAAAGAGCUUGAAAAAGAUAAACCUUUGAUGUUGAUCUGCAGGUGUUUCGAGGCUCUCUUUCACCUCUUCAGGAUCCGAAAUGGAGUGAGGUGAUCUGGGUGCAUGACUGUGAAGACGUGGUGGAUCUGGAUGGGCUGACUGAGGUGGAGGAGGCUCCGCCCUCAGGCACACAAGUAGAAGAAUUUCCAUUUAACCUUAAAUAAGAUGACUUCAUUUUGGUCAGAGCGAUUCAUUGUUUGUUCCCUGUUGCUUUGUAAAAUUCAAACUCAUUUAACAUAACUUUCUGAAAUGCCAUAGCAAUCUCAAAGGGAGAUUUUCCAAGCAGAUCCCACACUGUACACCCACAACAUUGUGGUCUUAAACACAAUGGUCCAGUCCCCUGGUAUGUGUUUGUUUUCUCUCUAAGAAACAAUGCCUUUAGUUAAUGUUCCUAUAAAAAGGAGUCUGUUUUUGAAUUAAGAUUUACACUGUUGCCAUGCUUUUUAUCGUCUUAUUUCAUUUGGAACAUAAAUAUAAAAUACUGGAGAUGUUUCAGGAGAGGUUCAUUCACACUCAAUUACACUUUGACCUGUUUUAAUGGGUAACUCAGUCCAUUCUUCGGAAAAUAACUCCCCCCAGUCAACCCCCUAUGCAUUAGUCAGCUCUUGGAACCUCUGCCUGGGGUCUGAAUGUUAUUGUAGAGAGAUAUGAAUGUACCAGAAUCUCCCACAGGGUCUCCCGAAACCCCUGCAUGGGUAUGUUGCAAAUGCAAUGUAAGAGUGUAAUUAUUCUAUUAAUAUAAAUCUGAUUAACCAACCAUCUCCCCUUGUGUGCAUGUAUAUUGCAGGUUGCAGAGGGAGUCUUGACAACCAGCAAAUUCACUCUGUCUUGUAGUUCUGCUGCACCUGAUAUGAAGAGAACAUUCAACAGCACAAAUGAAAACCCCCAAGAGGCUAAAAUGCUGAAACGCUCCCUCACCAUUUAUGGAAAUGUUUGUAAAACCUCUGACAUGUUAGGGAAAAAAGGUGUGCUCAUUCUUAUUAUCACUAUUUACUCGGUCAGAGUCAGGACUAGGAAUAUACACAAAACAUUAUUUGUAGGGUUAAAUAUCAUUCCAUUUAGGGAAUUGGAGAUGGGGGAAGAUGUCAUGUCAAAUCAAACACAGAGAAAAUAAUUUCAGGAGAAUAUUAGCCUAGUUAGAUAAUAUGGGGGCCUCUUCUUCCCUGUAAUAGACAACCUAAAAGGUCAAUAUUAGGUCAAAAAUGGCUAAAAAGAAACAGCUUUCUCUAGAAACUCGUCAGACAAUCAUUGUUUUGAGGAAUAAGAGCUGAAGAUUUCUACACUUCAAAGACAAAGAACAACUGACUCUUACAAGGACAGAAAGAGGUGUGGAAGGUCAGAUGUACAACUAAACAAGAGGAUAAGUACAUCAGAGUCUCUAGUUUGAGAAGUAGACACCUCACAUGUCCUCAGCUGACAGCUUCAUUGAAUUCUACCUGCUCAAUACCAGUUUCAUGUAAAAAAAAGCCACUUUUGAAACAGAAAAUCUAAAGGAAAAGGUUAGAGUGGGCACAGUAACACAGACAUUGGACAACAUAUAAUUGGAAAAGAGUGUAAUUAAUCUUAAACACAUUGAGAUUUUGUGGGAUCAGCUGGACUGUAAGGUGUGUGAGAAGUGCCCGACAAGUCAAAUCUAUGGCAAGUGCUACAGGAAGCGUGGGGUGAAAUGUCACCUGAGUAUCUGGACAAACUGACAGCUAGAAUGCCAAGGAUUGCAAAGCUGUCAUUGCUGCACAUGGAGGAUUUUUGAUGAGAACUCUUUGAAGUAGUUUAAGAAGUUCUGAACUUUUUUCUCAUUUUAAUAGUAAUUUUUCACAUUAUUAAUGUCUUGAUUAUACAUUGUGAUCUGUUGAACGUCACUUUGGUGAAUAAAA